CACAAUGGAAUGAGGAAACCAAUCACUCAAGUUCAUCUCAAACCCACCAUAGUUGUUGUUGAGUAUAGUGAUAAGAGAUAUCAACUAAGAUGAGUGGUGGGAAGGGUUGGGUCUUUUUGGCUUUCUUGCUCUUCUUUUUCCUCUUCUCCUCGGAGCUGGCUGCUGCCCGGAAGCUGAUGGUGGCCGGAAACAAUGCAGCGGUCAUACAUGAAGGCCGCACCACUUUCGCCACCCCCCGCACACGAAACCCCAACAAACCCGUUUGCGAUCCUUAUAAUCGAUUGUACCUCUGCAAUCCGCCACCCACACCCUGCAGUCCUUAUAAACGAAACUGCCCUCCGAAGAACUGAAGUGGACACUAAGAUCAAACACCAUGGGAACUAAAUAAACUAACCCACACCUACCUGAGUUUUAGUGUGCAUUGAAUCCUACUUAUAUGUUUAUAAGUUUCGGAGAUUUGCGCGGGUAUAAUUCGUAACUCGAUCAAUUUACUCGGGUAGUUUAUAUGAGUGUGAACUUUUAAUUAUAUCAAUUAAGCUUAUGAAUUUUCAAUA